rnacentral:rRNA from 1 species
UACAGAGGGGGCGAGCGUUGUUCGGAAUUACUGGGCGUAAAGGGCGCGUAGGCGGCCUCUUAAGUCGAACGUGAAAUCCCCGGGCUCAACCCGGGAACUGCGUCCGAUACUGGGGGGCUUGAAUCCGGGAGAGGGAUGUGGAAUUCCAGGUGUAGCGGUGAAAUGCGUAGAUAUCUGGAGGAACACCGGUGGCGAAGGCGGCAUCCUGGACCGGCAUUGACGCCGAGGCGCGAAAGCGUGGGGAGCAAACAGG